GCUCAGGGCAGAUGGUCAGGGGCGAUGGUGAACACAUGGCAUGGAUGGGGGUUGGGGCCGGAGGAAGGCAGGUGAGUGGACGGAGGCCGAGGCGAUGUCUGGUGGAGGGGUGGUGGGUGGUCAGGGAGGAGGGGGGUAUGAGGACU